UUCGGCUUGUGGCCGACAGUUUCUUUAGAGUUCCGUCUUGCGACAUGGCAACUAAAGAUAAGGGUUGCGCUCGUUGAUGGACUUAACCAAACAUCUCACGACACGAGCUGACGACGGCCAUGCAUCACCUGUCACCAAGUUCAAUAAAGCACUCUCUGCUUUCGCAGAAAUUCUUGGGAUGUCAAACCCUGGUAAGGUUCUUCGUUUAUCAUCGAAUUAAAGGACACGCUCCACCGCUUGUGCGGCUCCCCGUCAAUUCCUUUAUGUUUUAGUCUUGCGACCGUACUCCACAGGCGGGAUACUUAACGCGUUAGCUUCGCUACUGAAGGGGUCGAUACCUCCAACAGCUAGUAUCCAUCGUUUACGGCGUGGACUAC
rnacentral:misc_RNA from 1 species